rnacentral:rRNA from 1 species
CCUACGGGCGGCAGCAGUGAGGAAUAUUGGUCAAUGGACGAGAGUCUGAACCAGCCAAGUCGCGUGAAGGAUGACUGCCCUAUGGGUUGUAAACUUCUUUUAUAUGGGAAUAAAAUGUUCCACGUUUGGGAUUUUGUAUGUACCAUAUGAAUAAGCAUCGGCUAAUUCCGUGCCAGGAGCCGCGGUAAUACGGAGGAUCCGAGCGUUAUCCGGAUUUAUUGGGUUUAAAGGGGGGGGAGGUGGGUUGUUAAGUCAGUGGUGAAAGUUUGCGGGUCAACCGUAAAAUUGCAGUUGAAACUGGCAGUCUUGAGUGCGGUAGAGGUGGGCGGAAUGCGUGGUGUAGCGGUGAAAUGCAUAGAUAUCACGAAGAACUCCGAUUGCGAAGGCAGCUCACUGGACUACAACUGACACUGAGGCUCGAAAGUGUGGGUAUCAAACAGGAUUAGAUACCCGUGUAGUC